rnacentral:lncRNA from 1 species
GCCCUUUUUCUUUUUUAGGACGUCUUUUUUCUUGCGCGCGCCCAACCUCUCACAACGUUCGGUUUCUGACAGACUUUCCCGGAUUCCCUCGAGAGUGGCCUGUCCUUCUACUACUGCUGCCUUACACGUUUCAUCCUUUAAACAAUUCUUAACCAGCUUCCAUAUAGCUUUGGUCCCUAGGCACAGAUCCUCUUCCGCAAAUUUUCUGUCAAUGUCUUUUCCAAGUUUGUUCCAUGAGGCAAUCGUAAACGAGCCUGAACAGGCAAACCAAGGCGCCACCCUCUCCACCUCCUUCACAAAGUUUUUAAGUGUUCCUCCUCCAAUUUUGAUGUUCCUCUGCUUUAACACUGUCUCCAAGUCCGUGACCACAGACUGUGAGGAUCCCAUGAUGGGCCAGGAACGCCGGCGGCUUAUCUACGUCCGUCUGACAAGGCGUGAGGUGAAAUGGUAGAGACGGACACUCUGCUCUCUUAUGUACGGGAGUCUUACACGCGGCUCCCCGGACGGUGCGGCUUAUCUACAUUGGCCUUAUUGCAUCCUUGUUCCUCAACAGUCAAAAUCGAAGGUAAAAGGGAGCUGCGCGAAGCUCACUUAUAUACGAGAGACUGAGACGUGCCUUCAGCUGCUGUGAUCCUCCUUUUAACAGCGAAAACGGUGAAAACAGAACAUAAAGAGUAGGGUGGCUCCCAGUACAAAUACUAUAGCCUCAACAAAUCCUUCCCAAGGCGGUGACAACCCCAGACCAAAGUCCAAGAGAGGGCUGACUCUCCGAACGUAUCUACCUGCAGUUCUGAAUCCU